UUUUAGUUUCCUUGUCAUUUUUCACACACAAAAAAAAAAUCUCGUCUCAAACCCUGGUUUUGAAAUCGCAAUGAUCCAUGUAUUAAAAAAACUUGCAGCUGUUUUGAGUUAGAGAGGGACCAUAAAUCACUGAGGCUUCACUAGCACCGGCAGGAACGGCGGGAGUAGUUAAAGUAACAGUGAAGAUGGAUGAUGGUGGUGGGAUGCGUAACAAGCAUUCGAAGAAGAGAGGGGUAGGAGAAAGCAUGGAGGCUUCACUAGCAGGAAAAGUAACACUGAAGAUGGAUGGUGGUAGUGGUGGUGGGAUCUGUAACAACGCUGAUUUGAAGAAGAAGAAGAAGAAGAAGAAGAGGAGGAGGAGGAAGAAGAAAGAAUAACACUGAUGGUCCAGAAGCGAUGUUGUAUCUGAGGAUAUGUGUAACAACUAACAACACGAAAUUAAAGAUGAAGAAAAUAAAUAGAAACAACUUCUCCCGGAAGUAGUGAAGUAACACAAGAAACACAUUUCUUCUACAUUCCUCCUGGUCCUGAAACAACUUUUCCUGGAAGUAGUGAAGUAACACAACAAACAUCUCUCAUCUUCAUCCCUCUUGGUCCUGGUUCUUCAUCAAAGUAGUAAUAAACAAUGUGGACAUUGCGAAAAGUCAAUGGUGAUUACGUGUCUCGUCGUCCUGAAGGCAAUUUUCUUGUUACCGUUUCAUGGGAUUAUCAGAUUUGCUUUUGCGAAAUAAAGAAACCAGAAAUAAGUACUGGGAAUGUGCCAGAAGAAGCAACUAUUUGUUGCCAACCAACUUCGGAUUCCGCUUGCACCAUUGAUGCAACUACCAUUUUCACUGGUGGUAAAGUUAUGCUAUGGGUACUAAUGUCAGGAUGUCAGCCUGUGCUGGGUGGAGCCGUUAAUGAAGCUGCAAGGCUACCUGGGAUGAGCCUUCUGGCUACAGCAAACGAGGAUUAUUCUCUGAGGCAAGGAUCGAUUAAGUUGGGCAUGUUUUACUCUUUUUGUAACUGAAUAUUAAUAUUCUUAUUGAAAGGUUCUUCUUUUAUGGGGCAUGAUGAUCAAGAUGAUAUGAGUGAUUCAGCCAUUCAUGGCUAGUAUUUUAAAUAGCUCUUCGGUAGAAUAGGCAGUAUUAGUUUGCUGUAUGCUUAGUUAGGUUAAUUGUUCCUUUUAUUAUGUUCAGAAUUCUUACUUUCAUUUUACUAUGUUUUCAACUUCUUAUAUAUAUAUAUAUAUAUUUUGCAAAGCUCGCUUUCGCUCUACACUUUUUCCCUUCCUUACUCUUUGAUGUGAGAGCGCUUCGCUCCAAGCUUUCGCUUUUUAAAACCUUGACUAUUAGUGCACUCCCU